AUGCCGCAUCAUCCCGCCGCCGCAUCGCGCAACGGCGGCAAAGUCUUGGUCUACGUCGUCAUGAUCGCGUUAUCAGUAUCCAUCCUCCUGGCGUUCAUAGUUCACGUUGGCACCACUCCGAAGCAGAUCCUCCUCCCGACUUUCUCCGUCAGCCUAGAUGGUUUCGACGGGCUGCAGACGCCCGCGCCCGCGCCCGCGAUAUCGUCGACGUUCAACCUCACGCUCCACGCCGCGAGCAGCGGGAGCCCGCAGUCGCAGAGGCUCUGCCUGGAGGGUGGGUCGGUGGCCGUCUCCUACGCGGGCGCCGUGCUCGCGUGGGGACGCGUGCCUGGGUUCUGCGUGGAGCGGCACGAGCAGAAGUGCGUGAGGAUGGUCGCGCUCGGAACCGAGGUGGCGCUGACCGUCUACUGUCGUGCCGAGUGGAUAUAA
rnacentral:rRNA from 1 species